GAGCCGGCUCCUGCUCCAAUUGAAGUCCGCGCAAGCUCCUGUUGAUUGACUUCUGUCGUGCAGGACCGGGCUGGAGGAGCACAGAAGAGACGAGGGUGUACGGAAUAAUUCUGCACCGGUCCCCAGCGGAGGCACCAGGAGAAGUUUGAUCAGAUGCAUUGAGCACUGAGCCCCCCAGCGGUUCACAAUAACCUGGUCAGCAAUGGCAACCUUCUGACCUCUGAAUCUUGUACACCACCAGAAGGGAGCCAGCAGCUGCCAGAUCAGUCUAGUGAAGUGACUCUGGUGCUCACACCAGUCCCCAAGGAGACUUUGCUGCCAGAGCAGCUGCAGCAUGUCCACACUCAGAGGAGCUGUUCGAUGACCCCCUGGAGGAGCAGCCCACUGUGGAAGUAGAAGCAGAAGAGGCAAAAAUAACUCCAGUGCCUGGUAAAUAUUUUGGCUCCAUGGUUGUUGUUAUUAAUACACAAAUGGGAGAGAUUUGUGAUUUAUGAGCCAACACAAUUUUUAUUACAAACCCUGGGUAGGAGUGUGUAUCCACUAAUGGCGGAAUGCACGCCUCAGCAUUUUGGCAUCUGCUCCCUCUAUUCACAUGGCAUUAAAAUGGAGACUGAGAAGUGCAAACAACAGUUAAGCGGUUAACAUUAAAUUUUUACUAGAUACUUGUAUGUUCUUACAAAGAUAUGCUGGAGUGUUAAAAGUAAGAACCUUAUGUUGCCUUUCCUUUUUGUAUGCUGUGCAGUACAAAGUGGCCACGCCACAACAUAACAGGCUACCUGUAAUCUGUACGGGAAGGAGGCAGAAAUGUAGUUUAUGGGUGAUUAAAUCCAUGUCUAAUAGGGCUGGAGGGUUGUAUGUAGUCCAGAAAAGUUUUGAGGGAGAGGAGGUGGCUGUGCAGUUCUUUGAGAGUCCGUAUUAUUGUGUGUGUUGACAUGCAGUCCAUGAGCAGAUGUAGUCACAAUAGACUGUAUCAUAAGCCGUAGGGAUGCAGUAAUCCAUGUGGAUGCUAAUACAGCAUCCUGUUCAUUCCCCCAUGAAUCUUGGGUGCUGAUAGCUACAAACUUUACCUGUAGGAGGAACUCCAGAUAGGCAGUCACAUUUUGGGGAAAGGCAUAUUUUCCAGACCCACCAGCCCACUCCACUUGUUAACGUGUUGCUUGCUCACCGUAAGCUUGAAAACCUCUGUGGAAUACAUGGCUGGCUUGCCACUGGUAGCAUGGAAUAGAAUGGCCCUUUGCCAUUCAGGGAACUCCAGGAUUCUUAUGUCCUCCAGAAUAUGGAAUGCCUGAAAGGACUGAGAAACCUUAGCUAGUAAACCAUGACACACACACCCCUGCCCCCAGGGUAUCAUGGUCUGCACUUUACAAAUGCUAUACUUUUAAAAUUUCACCUUACCGUUGUGUGUACAUUCUUUGCACUCUGCUUAACUCAGUUAUGUCCAUGGAGUUUCUGGGAAUCAAAUCGCUUCUCUAAGAAUAUAAUGAAAGCUGGGUUUACAAAGCAUCAAUUUUUGGCCUUGAGAUUCCACAGGCACUUUUCUCUGAGGAUACAGUGAACCUUUUUUGAAGUACUGCUACAAUAAUGUGCUGUUUGAUGGUGGCUUUCACUCCCUUCCACCUGUGCAGGCCCUUCCACCUCUGCAGCUUAACCACACUCCAGCAGAAGCCUGAGAUUUCUAACGGUCAAAGAGAAAGCAUUUCUGCGAUGAACUUAAGGUGGACAUCCUGGACAGGGCCAACAAGCAGAUACAGUACCAAAGGGAAAAGAAUUCAUGGCAAGUGGAAAGGCACAGACAGGCUACUGAGUGCAAGGAGAGAAUUGAAGCAGGUCAGUUGAGAGUUGCAGCACAGUUUCGGGAGCAGGAACAUUGCUUGAGGGAGGAAGACAGAGCAUGGCGGAAAGACCUGUUUGAGAGGCUGUAAGGGCUAAUGGCCACAAGAGUUCAGGCUUCUGCUCCACCUGUACCACAUCCUGAGCCCUCUCCAUGGUACCAUGUCAUGCAGACUAGGAACACAUUGGACAAUACAAAAGUUGGGUGGCCCAUGCAACCAAGACUGAACACUAGUAGCUGGACAGGUCAAAUACACCCCCAGCAGUCCUCCACCCCCAGGCAUCGUCACCAAGUUUACACUAAAUGUGCUAGAAAGGGAGGCCCAGGGACAUGCAAAAGUAGGGAAUUUAUUUGUUUGCACUGGCUUCACUGUUGAAUGUUUGGGUUAUGCACUUUAUUUUAUUAUGGAUUUUGGUGUUGGUUUAUUACUGGUGUUUUGGUGUUCUAAUGGCAGCUGGCCUGGCUGACAAUGCUUUAAUAUUGUUUGGUUGGGUUUUUUUGUAAUAGACAUGUUCACAAAUAAAGGCUUUUAUUUUAUUA